AUGGAGAGAUGUAGCUUCUCCCACUACCUUGGGCCCCAUUUUAGAAUAAAACUUCCUCAUAAACUCACCAGCCUCCAGCCAGCCCACCGGGCUGCAGAGGCGAGUUUGGGGUGGGGAGGAAAGCUGCGAGCCCUUCGCUGGUGGGCUCGGGGUCUCGCCCCGCCCCCGGGCCCCGCCCGCCCCAAGGGCUGCCCCGCCCCCUCGCCCCUCAGUGGGCCGACUCGGCUCCCCCUCCACCGGGCUGAGUGGACGAGCCCGCAGCCUGGGCCCGCCCCUGCCCCGGGAGUCGCGGCGCCCGACGCUCGCCAGACUGUGCCACCGGGCGGGGAGGAGGGGGUGCGCCUCUGCGGGCGGGGCGCGCAGCCCGCCGUCUCGGGGGCCGAGGCUCGGCAGAGCGCUGCGGAGGACCGUUCGGCUGCCCCGCACCUCGGCGGUGCGGCUGCGAGGCCCCGACCCUGCGGGGACCUGAGCGGGCGCCGCGAGCGGGAGCGCGCCGCCUCCCCCCCCGGGUGGGAGCGGUGGUUGGGCCCGGCUGCGGCAGAGCGUUCGCUCGGAGAUGGCGGAGCCGCCGCGACGCGGCCCGAGGCCCCGAGAGCUGGGAAGCCGGGCAGCCCCGGGAUGCGGUGGAGCCCGGGGCCAGCGGGGACGCCGCCUAGUCCGCCGGGUGUGAAGCCAGCAUGCAGGGGUUUAAGAGCAGCGGCUGUGGAGCUUGACAGGCCUGACUUCGAAUCCCAGUUCCUCCACCGACUGCUCUGUGCGAUCCUGGGCAAGUUGUUCAGCUUCUCUGAACCUCAGAUUACGCAUAUGUAGAAUGGGGGUGAUAAUAGUCUGCACCGCUUACCUACCUCCCCGGGCUGCUGUGAGCAUUAAAUAUAUGGAAAGCUCUUAGAAGAAUGUCUGACAGUGAGCUCUCAGCCACUGUUUACUGUAAUUCUUAACCUUAAGGGGUGAGACACCCUGAGUGUCCACUUCCCCUCAGGACAACUUCUCACUACUGUGUUUUCUCUCAAGAGUUUCCUUAAACUCAGGAUUCACCCCUUCUCAUCACCAUUUUGAUCUUCUCCCAGCUUUCUUUUCACGUCAAUUAAUUUGACCCAGGCCAAAGCUGAACUGUUCUUAAAUUGUCUCUCUCAAUUCUGAGGAACCCUGUCUCUGCCUAAUCACCCCUGAGAUGUGUGUGUCUGGGAGGGGGUAGUAGAGGGGGAUUGCCAGUCACUGGCCUUACUAGGAAUGGCUAACCUGGAGAGAGCAACAAUAAAGCUUCUCGAAGCAGUCUAUCUGUUGAAGAAAACAGUCUCCAAAAUUAGGUCUCCCUAAAACUGUUUUCUGAUCACACUGUCCUUAGCCCUCUCUUAUUGGUUGGAUAUGACUUAAGCUCCUGUUACUCUCAUCCAGUCCCACUCAGUUCGCUCUGUUUUUGUAACGGGAUUCAAUCCCUCACAUCUCCACAGGCUAGCUCAGGACCUUUCUGAACUGUUCAGUGAUGAGGAUAGAGUAUCACCUAGGCUAAGUUAAGGAAGGAAAACUAAAGUGAGAGGGAGAGACUCUGGACUCAGCUCUCUGGCUUAUCUCAGACCCCAGGGAUUGGCCUGCUCUGGGGCUACAUUUUUGUCGCCUCUGCCACACUCGUGCAGGUGAGGUGAAAGGCAGGGGAUGAGUAAUUUUUCAGAAGCCAUGGAAAAGGGAGUCCCCAGGUUCUGGGUUUGGAAGUGAAUUGGAUGAUUAGCAGCAUUUCUCUUGCCUCUUCAGCUCCCGCCACCAUAGUGGCCUCCUGACUACAAGUUCGUUAGUGCUUUUAGCUUGUGAUGUUGGGUUUGAUUGAUGAGGAAGAUUAACAGACUCAUGAGUUUCCUCUUAUCUGAUAUUUCGUUGGACCAGCACAGGACUUGUGGGGCUUUCCGUCCCUUCCUCCCAGGCCCACCAGAGUUCCUGCUGGUGACCAACUGCUCAGUGGUGGGCUGGGAACUUCUUUCAGAGCACGUUCAUUUUCAGCCUCCUGAGCUGUUUGGUCUCUUGCUGGUGGGAGAUUUGCUCCCUUCCAACCGUUGAAUAUAUUGCUCUAGCUCAGAACUUAGCUCAGGAAGGAGAAUUUAGACAGUAUUCUAAGAAAGGGAACAAGCUGUGAAGUGAAGGUUUGAGACUCAGAUUGUGGUGUUCUUCUACAGGAGUUUUUUUUUCUGGAGAACAAAUCAUCCUGUGAGCAGGAGGUAAGAGAGAUGGGUGAAGCGGGGAAUGAAUUAAUGACACACUUUCAGGUGGAGAAGUAACCCUUGA
ensembl:lncRNA